rnacentral:rRNA from 1 species
GACAGAGGAGCCAAGCGUUGUCCGGAUUGACUGGGCGUAAAGCGCACGCAGGCGGGUGCGCGCGGGGGGGGUGAAACCUGGCCGCUUAACGGCCAGCGGCCAUCCCAUACGGCGCGCCUGGAGCCUUGCAGAGGGCGGUGGAAUUGCCGGUGUAGUGGUGAAAUGCGCAGAUAUCAGGAAGAACACCCGUGGCUAAGGCGGCUCUCUAGUACGGUACUGACGCUGAGACGCGAAAGCGUGGGGAGCGAACAGG